UACAGAGGUCUCAACCGUUGCUCGGAUUCAUUGGGCGUAAAGGGUGCGUAGGCGGUCGCGCAAGUCGGAUGUGAAAUCUCAGGGCUCAACCCUGAAACUGCAUUCGAUACUGCGUGGCUAGAGUGCUGGAGAGGAGACUGGAAUUUACGGUGUAGCAGUGAAAUGCGUAGAUAUCGUAAGGAAGACCAGUGGCGAAGGCGAGUCUCUGGACAGCAACUGACGCUGAGGCACGAAGGCCAGGGGAGCAAACGGG
rnacentral:rRNA from 1 species